ACACCCGUAGCUCAGCUGGUUAGAGCACUACCUUGACAUGGUAGGGGUCGGUGGUUCGAGUCCACUCGGGUGUACCA
rnacentral:tRNA from 53 species